AGCAGCCGCGGUAAUUCCAGCUCCAAUAGCGUAUAUUAAAGUUGUUGCAGUUAAAAAGCUCGUAGUUGAAUUUCGGGGUUAGUAGGUUGGUCAUGCCUCUGGUAUGUACUGGUCUCACUGAUUCCUCCUUCCUGAUGAACCUUAAUGCCAUUAAUUUGGUGUUUUGGGGAAUUUGGACUGUUACUUUGAAAAAUUAGAGUGUUUAAAGCAAGCUAACGCUUGAAUACAUUAGCAUGGAAUAAUGAAAUAGGACGUUCGAUCCUAUUUUGUUGGUUUCUAGGAUUGACGUAAUGAUUAAUAGGGAUAGUUGGGGGCAUUAGUAUUCAAUUGUCAGAGGUGAAAUUCUUGGAUUUAUUGAAGACUAACUACUGCGAAAGCAUUUGCCAAGGAUGUUUUCAUUAAUCAAGAACGAAAGUUAGGGGAUCGAAGACGAUCAGAUACCGUCGUAGUCUUAACCAUAAACUAUGCCGACUAGGGAUCGGAUGAUGUUAAUU
rnacentral:rRNA from 1 species